rnacentral:rRNA from 1 species
CCUACGGGAGGCAGCAGUGGGGAAUAUUGGACAAUGGGCGCAAGCCUGAUCCAGCCAUGCCGCGUGUGUGAAGAAGGCCUUCGGGUUGUAAAGCACUUUUGUCCGGAAAGAAAAGCUUAGGGUUAAUAACCCUGAGUCAUGACGGUACCGGAAGAAUAAGCACCGGCUAACUUCGUGCCAGCAGCCGCGGUAAUACGAAGGGUGCAAGCGUUACUCGGAAUUACUGGGCGUAAAGCGUGCGUAGGUGGUUUGUUAAGUCUGAUGUGAAAGCCCUGGGCUCAACCUGGGAAUGGCAUUGGAAACUGGCUUACUAGAGUGCGGUAGAGGGUAGCGGAAUUCCCGGUGUAGCAGUGAAAUGCGUAGAUAUCGGGAGGAACAUCCGUGGCGAAGGCGGCUACCUGGACCAGCACUGACACUGAGGCACGAAAGCGUGGGGAGCAAACAGGAUUAGGUACCCUGGUAGUCCACGCCCUAAACGAUGCGAACUGGAUGUUGGGGGCAACUUGGCCCUCAGUAUCGAAGCUAACGCGUUAAGUUCGCCGCCUGGGAAGUACGGUCGCAAGACUGAAACUCAAAUGAAUUGACGG